UACGUAGGGAGCAAGCGUUGUUCGGAAUUAUUGGGCGUAAAGAGCGCGUAGGCGGUUUGGUAAGUCUGGUGUGAAAUCCCGGAGCUUAACUCCGGAACUGCAUUGGAUACUGCCAGGCUUGAGUGUGGGAGAGGAGAGUGGAAUUCCCAGUGUAGAGGUGAAAUUCGUAGAUAUUGGGAGGAACACCCGUGGCGAAGGCGGCUCUCUGGACCACAACUGACGCUGAGGCGCGAAAGCUAGGGGAGCAAACGGG
rnacentral:rRNA from 1 species